rnacentral:misc_RNA from 1 species
AAGUCGUAACAAGGUUUCCGUAGGUGAACCUGCGGAAGGAUCAUUAACACGUUUCUAAACGUUUAUCAACCAACUCUAACUGUAUUUCCCUAGUUAAUGAAGUAUCGUCAUUUUGUUAGUAUUCAGGUUUUGGUGAGGUCGCACCCCAGUUGGCAACGACAGGGGCAGUGGACAUGCCUGGAGAAAGCAAGUCUUAUUGGCAACGAUAAGACGGGCGAUGAAUUAUUAAUUAGGCUCAACUUCUCACCUACUUUCAACCACCUUGGAAGGAAGUGAGAAACCCAUACCUUAUUCACCCUAUUUUACCUAUUUGACUAAUACUUAUUCCUUGGAGAAAUCCUCUGGAAUUACUAAGAUUUAAUCUUAACUAAGCACAACUCUUAGCAAUGGAUAUCUUGGUUCUC